rnacentral:rRNA from 1 species
AUUGAACGCUGGCGGCAUGCCUUACACAUGCAAGUCGAACGGCAGCGCGGGAGCAAUCCUGGCGGCGAGUGGCGAACGGGUGAGUAAUACAUCGGAACGUGCCCAAUCGUGGGGGAUAACGCAGCGAAAGCUGUGCUAAUACCGCAUACGAUCUACGGAUGAAAGCAGGGGAUCGCAAGACCUUGCGCGAAUGGAGCGGCCGAUGGCAGAUUAGGUAGUUGGUGAGGUAAAGGCUCACCAAGCCGUCGAUCUGUAGCUGGUCUGAGAGGACGACCAGCCACACUGGGACUGAGACACGGCCCAGACUCGUACGAGAGGCAGCAGUGGGGAAUGUUGGACAAUGGGCGAAAGCCUGAUCCAGCCAUGCCGCGUGCAGGAUGAAGGCCUUCGGGUUGUAAACUGCUUUUGUACGGAACGAAACGGUCUUUUCUAAUAAAGAAGGCUAAUGACGGUACCGUAAGAAUAAGCACCGGCUAACUACGU